UACGUAGGGUGCAAGCGUUGUCCGGAAUUAUUGAGCGUAAAGAGCUCGUAGGCGGUCUGUCGCGUCUGCUGUGAAAACUCAGGGCUUAACCCUGAGCUUGCAGUGGGUACGGGCAGACUAGAGUGCGGUAGGGGAGACUGGAAUUCCUGGUGUAGCGGUGAAAUGCGCAGAUAUCAGGAGGAACACCGGUGGGCGAAGGCGGGUCUCUGGGCCGUAACUGACGC
rnacentral:rRNA from 1 species